GAGCGUGCCCAGCGUGUUCUAGAAAUAGCAAGGCCAGUGCUGCUUGCUGUGGGGAAGGGGUGGGUCGGGGGAGAUGAGAUAAAGUCAGAGUAAGGGUGUGUAUGUGGGGGUCAGAUCACAAGGGGCGCUGAUCAUGCUAUCCUGAGGAUCUUACUGUCACUCUGAGGGAGAGAGGAGCCAUGAGAGGAUUUUGAGCAGAGAAGGGACAUGAUCUGAUUUAGGUCUUAGCAGCAUCUUUCUGGUUGCUAGGCUGAGAACAAACUGAGGGGACAAGGAUGGAGGCAGGGAGACUGGUUAGGAGGCUCCUGAAAUAACCCCGGUGGGGGGGGGGGGCUUGGAUCAGGGCAGUAGCAGCGUCGAGUUCCGUAUAUAUCUUGAAAAUAAAGCCAACGGGAUCUGCUGACAGGUUGCGUGUGAGGUGUUAGAGAAAGAGUUGUCCUGAGCAACUGGGAAAAUGAUGUUGCCUUUCCGAUGGGGACUGUUGGGGGAAGCCAUAUUUGGAGAGAAAAUCAGGAGUUCUGUUUGGACAUGUUACGCUGGAGAUGCCAAUCAGACAUUCAAGUGGAAACGACAGCACAUAGUUGGAUCUCCGAGUCUGGAGCUGAGGGGAGAGAUCUGGGCAGGAGAUAGGACUUUGCCAUCAUCAGUGUGAGCAAGGUACUCAAAAUCAUGACACGGGAUGAGAUCACUGAAGCAGGAGGAAAACCAGGCAGCUGUGCUACAGCCAAGUGAAGGAGGAGGAGGGCGAGGGAGAGGAAGCGUUUUGGAAGAGGGAGUAACUAGCUGGGUCAAAUGCUUCUAGGAGAUCACAUAACAUGAGGACUGAGAUUCAGCCCCGCUCCUCGCAGCCCAAAGCUUCUGCGCACUGCUCGCUCCCUCAGUACUUGACCAUGACGGAUGACAGAGGCUGAAAAACUCCAUGCCCCAGGCCACAGUCUAUUUACUCAGCAUUCAGUUUCACUCGACCACUCCAGCGCAGCCCACCCACCACCGUGCUCCCUUCAAGUCUCCAACAGGGUUUACAGACAGUGAGUGGAUAUACCUGCCCUGGGGUUCGACCUAUAUUAGGAAAUCACUGUGCAGCACACCAAAUGGUACUGGAGAAGAAAUCCCAAAAUAAACUGGCCUGAACAAGAGGUGGGUUCAGUGGAAGUGAUGGACAGGAGGAGGGAAUCCGGGCCAGCCUUGGCUAUAGAUUGGCCAUGUGAUCUUAGGUCAAUCACCCUACGGAUGACCCUUAGGUCAUUCUCACUACGCUUACCUCACGGAGGAAGGACCAAGUUCAGAUGUUGUAAAAGCAUUUUGUAAAGUGGAAAAUCUGCGUGUAAAUGCGGUUGAGUGCUUAGCACAGUGCCUGGAACAUAGUAGGGUGCAGUAAUUGGAAGCUAGUCUCAGUUAUUACUGUGCAUUUUAUAUAAAAAUAUAAAAAGUGAGGUAAAUCUGAAAUGCGUUGGGGACUGAGUGGGGGCACGGUGAGCGCAUUCUCUGAGUCUGGGCUUGUCCUCCAUCAGAGUGACUUGCUGUUGGUCCAGCUCCUGUUCUACAGAGGCUUAGGUUUGCUGUGUACGAUGCCUACAAAUAUGAGUUUCUCCCUUGCCUACCAGCGGAGCUCCAAUUAGGGUUUCUACUUCACUGCACCUUUCAUCCAAGGAUGCUAAGGGAAUUUACCGCUACACCAGUGACACAAAGAAUUCAUCCAGCAUCAACAUUGCCCAUCAUCAUUAGCAUCAUUGUGGCCAUUAGGACAUGUUGGCAAGGCAAUGAUUGGCACCACUGAUGGGCAGCACCAUUAGCCUUCUAAGUGAUUUUUCAUACUGGACAGUUCUGGAACAAAAAGCAUCAGCCCCUGAGGAACUCAUUUCAUCAGAUCUACCUCAGGCUGCCCCUCCUUCAUCCCCGGGUAGCUGUGGCAGCCAUGAGGGUACCAGUGUGUGGGGUGAUGCCUGGCUCAGAAAGAAAUAUGGAUGAAGUUCCUGGAUAUUCUUGAUUCAAGAUUACUGCUUGUGCCCAUAUCCAUUCUCACCUUCUUCCACCAUAACUGAGAGUGUGGCUGGGCACAUGGCUGUCUAGUUAAAGACUACAUUUGCUAGUAUCCCUUACAGCAUGGCAGGGUCAUAUGACUAAUUUUUGUAAGCAGAGCUUGUGCUAAAGUGGGGGGGUGCAAUUUUGGGGCCUUUAAGGGGAGAGGUUUGUGCCUACCGUUCUUCUUCCUUUUUCCUCCCUCCUACUCAUUGGAAUGUGAAUUUGGUGGUGAACUAUCUUGGACUAAAUAGAUGAGGGCAACGGACUCGAAAUGACAGAGCAAUAAGAUGGAAGGCAUCUGGGUCUUGACAUAAAAGCCCUAGAUAGCUUACACGUAAACUGAUAAAGGAGAGAUAAAUAAAGUUCUAUCUUACAUAAACCCUAUUAUUUUG
rnacentral:lncRNA from 1 species